AAUUGAUUGAAGUGACUCAGUUCAGUUACAAAGACAUAUUAUACAAGGCUAAGCUGUAAAGCUCUUGCACUACCAACUUCAUCCAUUUCAGCAGAAAGUAAGGCUAAGAUCAGAAACAAACAAGAACAAAAAACUCAGAAUCAUAGCUUGGUGAGGAAGACAAAUAGAAGCAAUCAAUAAUGGAGAUUGAUCUCCUAUUGCUACUCAGGUAUAUGCUCUGAUACCAUGAAACAAUACUGAGCUAAUUUGAGAGAUAAGAAAAUGUAUUGAAGAAUGAAUUGAUUUAAGCAAUUCGGUUCUGUCACAAAGACUAUAUAUUCAAGACUAAGCUGUAAAGCUGUAACUAACUGAGUUCAAGAUAUGCCACAUCAUGGGUAAAAAAU
rnacentral:misc_RNA from 1 species